rnacentral:rRNA from 1 species
AUACGGAGGGGGUUAGCGUUGUUCGGAAUUACUGGGCGUAAAGCGCACGUAGGCGGAUUGGAAAGUUGGGGGUGAAAUCCCAGGGCUCAACCCUGGAACUGCCUCCAAAACUAACAGUCUAGAGUUCGAGAGAGGUGAGUGGAAUUCCAAGUGUAGAGGUGAAAUUCGUAGAUAUUUGGAGGAACACCAGUGGCGAAGGCGGCUCACUGGCUCGAUUCUGACGCUGAGGUGCGAAAGCGUGGGGAGCAAACAGGAUUAGAUACCCUAGUAGUCC